GACGAACGCUGGCGGCGUGCUUAACACAUGCAAGUCGUACGGUAAGGCCCUUUCGGGGGUACACGAGUGGCGAACGGGUGCGUAACACGUGAGUAACCUGCCCACAACUUUGGGAUAACGCUAGGAAACUGGUGCUAAUACUGGAUAUGUGCUCCUGCUGCAUGGUGGGGGUUGGAAAGCUCCGGCGGUUGUGGAUGGACUCGCGGCCUAUCAGCUUGUUGGUGGGGUAGUGGCCUACCAAGGCGGCGACGGGUAGCCGGCCUGAGAGGGUGACCGGCCACAUUGGGACUGAGAUACGGCCCAGACUCCUACGGGAGGCAGCAGUGGGGAAUAUUGCACAAUGGGCGCAAGCCGGAUGCAGCAACGCCGCGUGCGGGAUGACGGCCUUCGGGUUGUAAACCGCUUUCAGCAGGGACGAAGCUUUUUGUGACGGUACCUGCAGAAGAAGCACCGGCUAACUACGUG
rnacentral:rRNA from 1 species